rnacentral:rRNA from 1 species
GAUGAACGCUGGCGGCGUGCCUAAUACAUGCCAGUCGAGCGAACGGACGAGAAGCUUGCUUCUCUGAUGUUAGCGGCGGACGGGUGAGUAACACGUGGAUAACCUACCUAUAAGACUGGGAUAACUUCGGGAAACCGGAGCUAAUACCGGAUAAUAUUUUGAACCGCAUGGUUCAAAAGUAAAAGACGGUCUUGCUGUCACUUAUAGAUGGAUCCGCGCUGCAUUAUCUAGUUGGUAAGGUAACGGCUUACCAAGGCAACGAUGCAUAGCCGACCUGAGAGGGUGAUCGGCCACACUGGAACUGAGACACGGUCCAGACUCCUACGGGAGGCAGCAGUAGGGAAUCUUCCGCAAUGGGCGAAAGCCUGACGGAGCAACGCCGCGUGAGUGAUGAAGGUCUUCGGAUCGUAAAACUCUGUUAUUAGGGAAGAACAUAUGUGUAAGUAACUGUGCACAUCUUGACGGUACCUAAUCAGAAAGCCACGGCUAACUACGUG